rnacentral:rRNA from 1 species
UGAGGAAUAUUGGUCAAUGGACGAGAGUCUGAACCAGCCAAAUCGCGUGAAGGAAGACUGCCCUACGGGUUGUAAACUUCUUUUGUACAGGAAUAAAAGACAUUACGUGUAAUGUAUUGCAUGUACUGUACGAAUAAGCAUCGGCUAACUCCGUGCCAGCAGCCGCGGUAAUACGAAGGAUGCGAGCGUUAUCCGGAUUUAUUGGGUUUAAAGGGUGCGCAGGCGGGAUGUUAAGUCGGCGGUGAAAUUUUGCAGCUCAACUGUAAAAGUGCCUUCGAUACUGGCCUCCUUGAGUGUGGAUGAAGUAGGCGGAAUUUGUGGUGUAGCGGUGAAAUGCUUAGAUAUCACGAGGAACUCCGAUUGCGCAGGCAGCUUACUAAGCCACAACUGACGCUCAUGCACGAAGGCGUGGGGAUCAAACA